rnacentral:rRNA from 1 species
UACGGGGGGGGCAAGCGUUGUUCGGAAUUACUGGGCGUAAAGCGUGCGUAGACGGCUAUCUAAGUCGGGUGUGAAAGCCCCGGGCUCAACCUGGGAAUUGCAUUCGAGACUGAAUAGCUAGGGUACGGUAGAGGGAAGUGGAAUUUCCGGUGUAGCGGUGAAAUGCGUAGAUAUCGGAAGGAACAUCAGUGGCGAAGGCGGUCUGCUGGGCCGUUGCUGACGCUGAGGCGCGAAAGCUAGGGGAGCAAACGGG